UUUGGCUACCCUCCCGAAGCCCUUGUGUGUGGCACUUUGUGUUGUUUUUUUAACUUUCCUACCAUCGUUUCUCCUACUUUCAAACUUGCGAAAAUUCUUGAUGCAUCCUUAAAAUUGUACAAUCAUGCCAUAGCUUUCAUUCCCAAACCUCUAUUGAUUUAUAGAGAGAGAGAGAGAGAGAGAGAGAGCCAAUGUUGAAUCAAUAUAUGUACAAGUUGGCAACCAGCCCUCAGUAAGUCCCGUUAUGAGAUUUUAUGUUAUGGAAUUGGCGAAACUCCUUGAAACAGCAACACCUUCCGGAGAGAGAAAGAAGCGAUUAUUUCUGAGAUGAACGAGUCCUCAUACGUGAGCAACACCGGUCAGCUUUGCUUCUUGUAAACAUUCGGAAGAUUUGGAUCAAGAUCCAGACGAGGCAAAUAUAUAUGAUACUGUUCAAGAAAUCCAUGUUUGUCUAUGGAAACUCCAGUGGAGAGGUCCAAUAACGAAGACGACUUCUAUUACCUGGUAAACCAACCGGCAAGCCAGAUUUGGUAAAUAGUUUUGCUACGUAUAAAUAUAGUCGUACACUAAUCUAUAUAUCAAUACUGAUUUAUUCGUACUUAAAAUUUAAAUUAAUAUUAUUUUUAAUAAAAUUUAUUUUUUAAUUAAUCACAUCAUAUUAAUAUAUAAUUUAAUAUAUAAUUAUACUUAUAAUUAUAUUUUUCCGAUAAUAAAACACAGGUCGGAAGUAGAUUACUCACAGUUGUCUGACCUCUGUAUAUAGAAAAAUGCUACGGCAAGCCAGAUUUGACUUUUGGGGCUUUUAUUAUUUUGAAAAAAACAUUUAUAUUGUUUUGUUGACGUGGCUCCAUUUCCAUCACACAACUAAAGUCAAUGUUUGUUUUAAUUUACUAGUAUGGCUACGCUUAAUUUUUCUGUGAAUUCAAAAUAAAUAAAAAGAAUAAUAUUAUAUAUAUUUAUAAUUUUACCUAUAAGAUUCAUUUUAUCAAUUUUUUAAAUUUUAUAGUUUUCAACCUAUUAAUAACUUAUAUGUUAAUAUGUAUUUUUAUGUAAAUAAAAAUUAUAAAUUGUAUUUUCUUAUAUAUAAUAUAAAUAAUUAGUAAUUAGUUGCAGUGUAUUUAAGAUGGGUAAGAUGAAGGAUAGACUUAGGUGAGACCGGUUUAAAGUCAUUGAAAAAUAGAUGUGGCCCAAUUUUAGUAAUAAUUACACCCUACUCAUGCUGAGGAAAAUUUAAAAAAAAAAAAAAUUUUUGCACCCUACUCUAAUCCUUGAUAAUAAUUAAUAACAACGAUUGAACGUCUAUCUCUCUCUCUAAAACCUCUCCCUUCUCUCUAAACAACAACAAACGUUAUCGGCUAGAGGGGGUGGGAGCUUCGGCUCCCUCCCUCCUCCCUCCAUCUCCCCGCCUCCCUCCCCCUCCACCUUCUGGUUUUGUUUUUUUCUUUUUUGUUUUCUGGCUGUAUAAGGGAGAAUCACAGAUCUGGAAGAAUCCGGCGACCACCGACCAAGACGCGCACCUCCAUGGAGUAGCCCAGCCACCGAUCUUCAAGACCACCGAAUCCGGUGCCAAUCGGAGUGGAGAGUGGCCUGCACGCGCGGGUUAAAGUUUUCCGUUGUUUCGGCGCGUGGUGCUCACGCGCCACCGGGAAUCCCUCUGCCGAUGCCACGAGCGGCGUUUCUGGGACUUGUGAGUCGGGGACUUCCAAGACUAGCCGUUGGUUCUCUCAUAGAGUGGCGCGUGUGUUGCACGCGCUACAGUACCUACAUAUUACACUGGUUUUCCGUGUACAGUGUUUUCUAUGUAGUUUCUUUUUAUUGUCUUUUGUUUUCAAUAAAAAAAAAAAUCCAAAAAAUUAGUCCCCCCUCCGCUUGGCGGUAUUUGGUGGGGUUGGUACCCUAUAUCCCGCGUAGUCGGGUAUAGGGAUUUGGUAACUCUAUCUUAGAUAGAGUUGUGCUAUCUCUUAGACUUAGGUCUUUAGAGAUUAGCAGUCUGGACUAGACUAUGUCAACCACUUUAGUGUGUUGGGAAGCUAUCAACCAUUGUAACUGACUUGAUGUUUAAGUCAAAUUUGUAAGUCCUCUUAAA